GAGCAUGGACAGGAUAGCUAGCCCUCCCAAGAACCCAGCAGAAGCCUUUAGUCACAUUUCCACCGUAGUUGUACAUUCUGCUGCUCAUAAAUGCUUCUUGCAUAUUCAUAGCUUGGGUUCGAGGCCAGGGUUGGUGGCAUGGAUCAAUAUCAUCAAUAUUAUAGAUCAAGCUCAGUUCCUGCCAGCCCCACCUACAUCUUUGUAUUGGGACCCUCCAUGCUGGCUGAGGAUUGUCUCUAGAGAACCAGAUCUGCACUGGGUAACAGAAAAAUGCAUCUAGUCCAACUCCAAGAGCAGCCAAUGUUUUAAAAGAUCUAGUGUCACUCAAAAGUCCAAAUUCAGAGUCCCUACUAGCACUCAAAGCAGGCUGGCAGCUUCACCGUGUGAAACAGAAGACAAUGUCACAGGCUUCCAACCUGUGAUGUCACACAGUAAACACUCUUAUUCCAAAGAGGAAGAAGAGAGGGGACUGAAGGCCUUCACUGGAGGAGAUUCACAUCACAGAGGACCAGGAAGUAGGAAAGGGCAUGGACUCUUUAGGAAACUGGGAAACCCCAAAGAAGUAGUUCACUAGGGAUACACCUCUGCAAGUGACCCAGGCCCUGCUUCUGGAAUAUUCUUUGCUUCCUGGACCAUCAAACUGUGAGAAGCCUCCUCAUCACAUUCCACUACCACCAAAGAAGCUGCUCCUGUGACCAGGCCUUUCCUAUGAUGAUAAGCUAAAUCUCCCUGAAACCAAACGCCAAAAAAGACUGGUCAUCCUUUCAAUCCAGUCGGGUAGUUGAUCAAAGCAACACAAAAUUAACCACUAGCAUGUAUAUAUAGAUUAUUUUAAUCUGUGCAACAGUCUACUUCCAAGGACUAAAUAUCACAAUUAUUUUAAUUAAUUUAUUGAUUAUGCUGUGUUUCUUUUUUUUAUAUAUAUAUAAGUACAUUUAUCUGUAUGGAUGAAUGCACCUAAGCCUGGGUAUAUACGGAGACUGGAGGAGGGACCCGGGUAUACUUAUGCUGGUCUAUCACUCUUUCUUACUAUCCUGAGACAGGAUCUGUCACUGAGCCUGUGUCUAAGUUGGUGGCUUGUGAGACCCAGUCUUCCUCUUGUCUCUAUGCUUUAUAAUGCUGGGGUUAUAGAUGAGUUUGGACCAUGCAGGGCAUCGUUUGGGGAUUUGAACCCAGGUUCUUACACUUGUCCAAUAACCCCUCUUAACCACUCACUGAGCCAUCUCUCCAGCUCCUGACAGUAUUUCUAAGUGAUCAAAAUUAUUCAGUGGGUGUUUUUCAAGUUUACUGAAGAAAAUGGUGGUUUUCUGAAGUAAUGUAGAAGAUGGUUACGUAGUCUUGGAAUCAUGGAGUCUUAAGUGGAGAGAAGAUUUAGAUAUUUACAUAAUCCCUUCCAUGUAUCUCUAAGAAAGCAAGGAGCCAACUAUGACCCUCUAAAGGAGACUGCUUGUGACUGCAGCUGAAGAGGAAUUCUAUCUCUGCUGGGAGCUGUUCAGAACUGUAGACCCUUCCAUCACACAGGGCUGGAGGAUUACCAGUAUUCCACACAGUUUCUCUGGAGCCCAAAUCAUGGCAUGGCCCUGCCACAUGCAGUGUGGUAGCCAGGGGUUGAACCUUUAAAAUUUUAGCACUUAACUCUAAAUCCUUAAUCACAGAAAGUAGAAAAGCACAAUGUACUAUUGACACCAUAGUGUUUAACUAUAAUUUUAAUACAUUAAAUCUACUCUUGGGAAAA